rnacentral:lncRNA from 1 species
UGGGCUGGGCGGGGGCAACCCCCCAACCGUUCAGUGAUGGAAAUCGACACCCCCGCUCGACAAGGAAAUGAUUUCCAUCCUCUAUAAGGCUGCGAGCUCAGCCUUAUCAAGUUGCGUAAAGAAAUUAUCGUGUUACCAACAUUUUGGCAAUGUCUGGUUGAGUUGAAGAUGUACUUUAAUCGCAACUGCACCAGUGUCUUUCUUACCUCCUUUUAAACCACAGACAAAUAGAGCAUAAUGCCAAUG